rnacentral:rRNA from 1 species
UACAGAGGUCUCAAGCGUUGUUCGGAUUCAUUGGGCGUAAAGGGUGCGUAGGCGGCGCUGUAAGUCGGGUGUGAAAUUUCGGAGCUUAACUCCGAAACUGCAUUCGAUACUGCGGUGCUUGAGGACUGGAGAGGAGACUGGAAUUUAUGGUGUAGCAGUGAAAUGCGUAGAGAUCAUAAGGAAGACCAGUGGCGAAGGCGGGUCUCUGGACAGUUCCUGACACUGAGGCACGAAGGCCAGGGGAGCAAACGGG